GGUGCGAGCGUUAUCGGAAUUACUGGGCGUAAAGCGAGCGCAGACGGUUACUUAAGCAGGAUGUGAAAUCCCCGGGCUCAACCUGGGAACUGCGUUCUGAACUGGGUGACUAGAGUGUGUCAGAGGGAGGUAGAAUUCCACGUGUAGCAGUGAAAUGCGUAGAGAUGUGGAGGAAUACCGAUGGCGAAGGCAGCCUCCUGGGAUAACACUGACGUUCAUGCUCGAAAGCGUGGGUAGCAAACAGGAUUAGAUACCCUGGUAGUCAAGGGCG
rnacentral:rRNA from 1 species